AGACCCGAAACCCGGUGAUCUAGCCAUGGGCAGGUUGAAGGUUGGGUAACACUAACUGGAGGACCGAACCGACUAAUGUUGAAAAAUUAGCGGAUGACCUGUGGCUGGGGGUGAAAGGCCAAUCAAACCGGGAGAUAGCUGGUUCUCCCCGAAAGCUAUUUAGGUAGCGCCUCGUGAAUUCAUCUCCGGGGGUAGAGCACUGUUUCGGCUAGGGGGCCAUCCCGGCUUACCAACCCGAUGCAAACUGCGAAUACCGGAGAAUGUUAUCACGGGAGACACACGGCGGGUGCUAACGUCCGUCGUGAAGAGGGAAACAACCCAGACCGCCAGCUAAGGUCCCAAAGUCAUGGUUAAGUGGGAAACGAUGUGGGAAGGCCCAGACAGCCAGGAUGUUGGCUUAGAAGCAGCCAUCAUUUAAAGAAAGCGUAAUAGCUCACUGGUCGAGUCGGCCUGCGCGGAAGAUGUAACGGGGCUAAACCAUGCACCGAAGCUGCGGCAGCGACACUGUGUGUUGUUGGGUAGGGGAGCGUUCUGUAAGCCUGCGAAGGUGGCCUGUGAGGGUUGCUGGAGGUAUCAGAAGUGCGAAUGCUGACAUAAGUAACGAUAAAGCGGGUGAAAAGCCCGCUCGCCGGAAGACCAAGGGUUCCUGUCCAACGUUAAUCGGGGCAGGGUGAGUCGACCCCUAAGGCGAGGCCGAAAGGCGUAGUCGAUGGGAAACGGGUUAAUAUUCCCGUACUUGGUGUUACUGCGAAGGGGGGACGGAGAAGGCUAUGUUGGCCGGG
rnacentral:rRNA from 1 species